UCCAACUGGGUCAAGGUUGGUUAGUAUUUGCUCCUGGGAUGAUGGGCUAAAAAUCUCAAGUGGUGGCAUAGGCCAUCACUUUGCCAAUUCACCGGAAAAUUGAAAAGGGUGGCCGGAACAUCGCGAGAACCGUCAACUUUCGUGGCCUCAAACCGCCACAUACUGUGGUUAAUCAAGGUGGUUCUUGGGUGGGUUUUGUAGAGGGGAAUGAGAGCUUCAAGAUGAUGGUGGUUGCAUCAAAAAACUCCACCGAAGUUGGCCAGAAUCGGCCUUGGAAAAUGGGAGGUUGAACUGGGUUGGGCACAGAUGCAGAACGAGCUUGGUGAAGUCUGAUUGGGUGCCAUUUGGAAGGAAACAAUUUGAUUGGUGACCAUUCCCACAAUGGUGGGAGUUUUUAAUUAAUUUAAAACUAAAUUUUGAAUAACCAAUUUCAAACAUCCGUAACUAUACCGUUAUAAUCCGGACUCACAAACGACUUUCGCCUAUGCAUUCGUAGUGAUGAGUACUGUGAGGAUACGCUAAAAGAAUGAGUCCUACGUCUUUCUAACCAAUGGUCAAUGAAGGUUAAAAUCUUUGCCUCUAGGGCAUUUUCGUAAAUUCACGCUUUAAAAAUUAAUAAAAACGUAAAAUUAGGGACAGGUUGUCACAAAUAUGUUUUUGUACUAGUGGUUAGAGAUACACAGAAGUAACUUUGUUUCGUAAUUUCAACUCACAAAGAUCCAACAAUGAGUUCUUUCCGGUAGGUAAGUUACCAAAACUCAUUGUUGUAGAUGAAUUUGUACCUACAAAACAAUUAAACACCUUUCAUGAAAGACCAAAGACAUGCACUUUGAUGCCUAAGUUAGUUUCUCUGAAAAAAGUGAGUUUAAGUUUAAUUGCAUAGUCAAAAGUUUACCAAAAAUUGGUGGAGAAUGGGGUAUUUAUCAGUGUUUAA
rnacentral:lncRNA from 1 species